GUCUAUGGCGGCUUUGUGCGGGGCAUCUUCGGGUGCGCCGGUUUUUGGGAUUGGGUCGCCGGUCUGCUAACCCGUAUCAAAGUCGCCACCUUU
rnacentral:antisense_RNA from 1 species